GCCCCGGGAUGUGUAAAGGGUUAACAUGUUCGGCUGUUAACCGUAAGUUUGGAGGUUCAGGUCCACCCAGAGGCA
rnacentral:tRNA from 1 species